rnacentral:rRNA from 1 species
GAUGAACGCUGGCGGCGUGCCUAAUACAUGCAAGUAGAACGCUGAAGCUUGGUGCUUGCACCGAGCGGAUGAGUUGCGAACGGGUGAGUAACGCGUAGGUAACCUGCCUGGUAGCGGGGGAUAACUAUUGGAAACGAUAGCUAAUACCGCAUAACAGUAGAUGUUGCAUGAUAUCUGCUUGAAAGGGGCAAUUGCUCCACUACCAGAUGGACCUGCGUUGUAUUAGCUAGUUGGUGAGGUAACGGCUCACCAAGGCGACGAUACAUAGCCGACCUGAGAGGGUGAUCGGCCACACUGGGACUGAGACACGGCCCAGACUCCUACGGGAGGCAGCAGUAGGGAAUCUUCGGCAAUGGACGGAAGUCUGACCGAGCAACGCCGCGUGAGUGAAGAAGGUUUUCGGAUCGUAAAGCUCUGUUGUAAGAGAAGAACGAGUGUGAGAGUGGAAAGUUCACACUGUGACGGUAUCUUACCAGAAAGGGACGGCUAACUACGUGCCAGCAGCCGCGGUAAUACGUAGGUCCCGAGCGUUAUCCGGAUUUAUUGGGCGUAAAGCGAGCGCAGGCGGUUAGAUAAGUCUGAAGUUAAAGGCUGUGGCUUAACCAUAGUACGCCUUGGAAACUGUUUAACUUGAGUGCAAGAGGGGAGAGUGGAAUUCCAUGUGUAGCGGUGAAAUGCGUAGAUAUAUGGAGGAACACCGGUGGCGAAAGCGGCUCUCUGGCUUGUAACUGACGCUGAGGCUCGAAAGCGUGGGGAGCAAACAGG